CCUACGGGAGGCAGCAGUGAGGAAUAUUGGUCAAUGGGCGUGAGCCUGAACCAGCCAAGUAGCGUGCAGGAUGACGGCCCUACGGGUUGUAAACUUCUUUUGUCCAGGAAUAACAUGCGGCACGUGUGCCGUUUUGCAUGUACCUUAUGAAUAAGGACCGGCUAAUUCCGUGCCAGCAGCCGCGGUAAUACGGAGGAUCCGAGCGUUAUCCGGAUUUAUUGGGUUUAAAGGGAGCGUAGGCGGGCUUUAAAGUCAGCGGGAAAAUUUCGGGGCUAAACCUGGCCCGGCAGUUGAAACUGGCCGGCUUGAGUACGCGAGAGGUAGGCGGAAUUCGUGGUGUAGCGGUGAAAUGCAUAGAUAUCACGAAGAACUCCGAUUGCGAAGGCAGCAUACGGAAGUGCGACUGACGCUGAAGCUCGAAGGUGUGGGUAUCAAACAGGAUUAGAUACCCGAGUAGUC
rnacentral:rRNA from 1 species